rnacentral:miRNA from 1 species
UGGAAACAUUUCUGCACAAACUAG